rnacentral:rRNA from 1 species
AGUUUGAUCCUGGCUCAGGAUGAACGCUAGCGGCAGGCUUAACACAUGCAAGUCGAGGGGUAUAGUAGCAAUACUAGAGACCGGCGCACGGGUGCGUAACGCGUAUGCAAUCUACCUUUUACAGAGGGAUAGCCCAGAGAAAUUUGGAUUAAUACCUCAUAGUAUAGUGAGUUGGCAUCAACACACUAUUAAAGUCACAACGGUAAAAGAUGAGCAUGCGUCCCAUUAGCUAGUUGGUAAGGUAACGGCUUACCAAGGCGACGAUGGGUAGGGGUCCUGAGAGGGAGAUCCCCCACACUGGUACUGAGACACGGACCAGACUCCUACGGGAGGCAGCAGUGAGGAAUAUUGGUCAAUGGGCGCAAGCCUGAACCAGCCAUGCCGCGUGCAGGAUGACGGUCCUAUGGAUUGUAAACUGCUUUUGCACAGGAAGAAACACUCGGACGUGUCCGAGCUUGACGGUACUGUGAGAAUAAGGAUCGGCUAACUCCGUGCCAGCAGCCGCGGUAAUACGGAGGAUCCAAGCGUUAUCCGGAAUCAUUGGGUUUAAAGGGUCCGUAGGCGGUUUGAUAAGUCAGUGGUGAAAGCCCUACGCUCAACGUAGGAACGGCCAUUGAUACUGUUAGACUUGAAUUAUUUGGAAGUAACUAGAAUAUGUAGUGUAGCGGUGAAAUGCUUAGAGAUUACAUGGAAUACCAAUUGCGAAGGCAGGUUACUACAAAUGGAUUGACGCUGAUGGACGAAAGCGUGGGUAGCGAACAGGAUUAGAUACCCUGGUAGUCC